ACAUCGUGGUUAGGACAUUGCAUGAGCUUUUCAUUAAAUCUCUCCCAAACCUUAUAUUAGAGGUUCUCUAUUCAAUUGAUUAAAAUUGGCAAUUUCAUCAUAAAAUUC
rnacentral:snoRNA from 1 species